UGAGUACUCCCUUCGUCUGAAAAUACUUGUCAAAGAAAUGGAUGUAUCUAGAUGUAUUUUAGUUUUGGAUACAUCCAUUUUUAUCCAUUUCUCCGACAAGUAUUUCUAGACUAAGGCAGUACUUA
rfam:Triticum aestivum genome assembly, contig: Triticum_aestivum_CS42_TGACv1_scaffold_080833_1DS